rnacentral:lncRNA from 1 species
CAGCCAUACUUCAUGUUAGGAUGGCUUCAAAGAAGGUUGAACUUAAGCUCUUUAAAGUUAUAUUCAAAAGAUAAGUUUGUUUUUUUUUUUUGUUAUAAAAAUUACUCUGAUCUCAAAAUAAACAAUGGAUACAAAACUAGGUUAAGAGUUUGGGCAAAUUAUAAAAGGCAUGUAAGGUUGUAAGACAGUUUUAAAAGACAGGAAGAUCUGUAAAGGAUCUCAUGUGAUUGAGGUGAUAAAUUUAUGUGUUUUGGGAGAGGCAAAAUAGAUACCAAAGCUUCAUUAGUGUUAUUAUAGAAAUUGUUUCUUGGUUCAAAGCUACUAUACAAACUGAAUGUUUCUUGUCUCGUUUAUUUCAUUUUGUAUUUUCCUUAUAGAACUUUUUAAACAUUUGCCUGUUAAUGUUUUGAAGUACUCCUUCUAAUAGAACAAUCUGAGUUAAUUUGAGAUAAUGAGUCAUCACCUAUAGAACAAAACAGGACAUAGGCUGACUUCUAAUACUAAACCCAGUUAAAUGGAAGGGGUAAUAUAAAAAUAUGAACAUUAAAGUUACUGGUGAAACUGACCUGCUGGAUGAUUAAAACCCAACUUGGAGACCAAAGUCAAGGAAGUAAAAGGGCCAAGGAAAGAGCAGCCAACAUUUUGGCCCUUGCCCUCUAAGGUCAGCCAGGACACAGAGGACAGGACCCCCUUCAGGGCCCUGAAACUCUGGUGGGUAAGCCAACCUUCUGACCAGGAGGAUGGAGAAGACCCUACAGAACAGGAAGUUAACCAGUGCACAUUCUGCAAAGGGUCAUUGGAGAGGGAACUGUCCCUGAUACUUCCAAGAAAAGCCACAUGUGGUCAGCAAGACCCUGGCCCAUCCUGGCAGUUGGCACAACUGGUAGAGGAAAACCUAAAGGAGCCAAGAGUGAUCCCUGACAAAUCUUAACUCUGUAACAGUAAAUAAGGACAAGGUUAAUUUUUGACCAACUUGGCCUUCAACACCCGGCAGGAGAGUAUAAGUCAAAACACCGCCGUUCAUGGACAUUUAAAAGAUCAGGCAAUGGCUCCAUUACUAGAGAUGUACAUUUAUGUCAGUCCUCCUGAAAGUAAGUAAAACUGGGAGGUUACAAAAGAAGGGUUUUUAUACAGGAGUGCCUGAUAACUCACAAAAAUGUCUGCCAGAGUCACAAGCUUGUUCCCAGUCAAAUCGAGACCUAUGUGUGUUUCUUUCGUUCUUCCUCUGCUGUAAUUAUUAGGAACUACUGUCGAGACUCCUCUUCUGGCAUCCUUAAUCCGUCACUUGCAGCCUGGCAACUUGAUUUUAAUCAAGACCUGGAAAGAAGACAAGCGUCAAGCACCUGAAAGGACUUACCAAGUGCUUCUAAUCAUCAGGAUGGCUAUCGAAUGCUAAAAAGGGAGACCUCCUUACCGUGUGCAAUUUUCACCUCAAAAACUGUUAAACACCUGGGAUGGAUGGCAAUACCAAAGGAUUCAAAAGUGAAAAUGAGACCGACCGGUAGGAAAGAAAAGGGGGAGGGCUGUGAGAAAGAGCUGGUCCAGCCGCAGCCGCAGCCGUGUCCACGCAGGCUGUGACCCCGCCGCAGCUCUCCUGUCGGGCGGGGACAGCGCUGCGGCACUACGGACCACAGCGGGCGGGGGGCCGCCGGGGCUGCAGCCGGCCAGGCUCUGCAGCAGGCCCUGGGGCGGAAGCGCCCCGCAGAGCCACUCCACGCUCGCGUCUGACCCCUGGGCACCCCGUUUCCCAGCAGCACACAGCGGGCCCGGAGACAGCGGGCGACAGCCCGCCGUCAAAGGCAGGCUGCUGACCGGCGCCUCAGCCCCGCAUCUCGCUGGCGGGCGGGGACGGAAAGUGACGGGCGCCAUCUUCCUCCCGCCUCCCGGCGCACAAACACGGAACGUGCACAAGCCCACAGCUCAGGAUCCCGGCAGAUUCACCAGCGCCGGAUCACAAACGAGAGCGGAAGCGACCGGCGGUCCUCAGCGGCCCCCACAGCUGCCGGCCGGAAGCGGGUCCGCACUUCCGGGAUGAUGUCAUCACGCCGCGACUCCUGCCUCGCGGAUGGUGGACGCGACAGUGGCUGCGGCGUUGUGGCCCGGGGGCCGGGAGGGGGCGCCCCGGGUGGCCGUCCACGCUCUCGCCCGCCGUGCAGGGCGCGGUUCUCUCCGCACUCUGUGAGCCCGAGGACCGGAGGGAAGUCCCGCGUGCACAGGGCCGAGUGCAGCCCCCCGAGUCCGGGCCGGGACCACUCUCGGGGCCCGGUCCGUCUGGCCCCGGGAAAGCAAGCCCGACCCGGCACUUUUCAGCCCAGUGCGUUGGGCGGGAGCGGGAGACGCGAGGAGCAUCUCCUACAGCUGCGGCCGGGCCGUCUCCGAAUCCUCCAGAGGUGGCGGUCGGUGGGGCGUCGUGUUGUUUCAGAGCGGCGCAGAGAUGGGGCUCACGGCUACGGCGGGGAAAAAAACGGUCCCCCAGGGCAGAAAAACGGAAAUCGUCACGGAAGAGGCUUAAAAACUGGGAGCAACGAAGGGGAACGCCCCUCUCGCUUCGGGACGGCGGGGUGUUCGGGAAACGCGGGGCCUCUACAGAUGCAGUGUGUGCAGGUGGAGUUGCGAAUUGCUUAGUGCCUCUCCCUUGGCACCUCGAGGAGCCUCAGUCCACUCUUGCUGGAUUUCCAGUGGCAGCCAUUGAAGCAGACUGCAUUGAGGAAAAAGAAAGUGCUGGUGUCUCGUGACCUCAACCCAGAAUCCAGCAGAAACUCUAAUUGACACUUACACCUCUAUUAUGCAGCCCAGAAUAAUACAUAUCCUUAAUAGUAAAAAUACACUUUGCCCCCAUUGUUAUAAGAGAUGAUGAUGUUGAGAUAAAAUCAUCAGAGCUAUUCACGGCAUAAGUUAGGAUUUGACCUAGCGUCCUAGUUGCCCAGCACAAGUCCUUUGUCAAGUAGUUUCUAAGUUGCUGCUGACCUUUGGGAUUUAACUUAUAGGUAAAAGGGAAUGCUUGUGUUUUUUUCAUUUCGGUGUGGCAGUGACUAAGGCUGGGAGACAUUCAUUCAUUCAUUGAUUCAGAUCAACUGUUGUAUGCCAAGCCCUGUCUUUGGAGCUAGUGGUACAAAGGUGGACAAAAACGACAACAUCUCUUAAAAGUUUGAUUUGGUCAGAAAGAAAAAAACAAACAUAAGCUAGGGACAUUAUGAAGGAGACUGUGACUUAGUCUGGGAAGUAUAGAUACCAUCCCUGAGGAAAUGACAUUUGAACUCAGAGAUAUGGAUGAAAAAGUAAAUCUAUAUUUAUUAUAUUUAUG